AGUAGCAACCUGCCAUUAUUACUAAGUGCAGAUAGUUCCUAUCAAACAUUUGCAUAUUUUAUUCCUGUGUGGUCAUACUUCAGAUUACUAGGUGAACAGAGUUGCUUUACAGCCCUAUAAUUCACCCAGCUCAGACCUGUGCAGUGCAGGUGGGCUGGGAAACACUCCACCAAAGAAUAACAGUCUACAUCCCCCAUGUCCAGCAGGGGGCAGUAUCAAUUAGGCCACUGAUUGCCUGCCCACAUGUGAUGCAGGCAGCAAUACAUUACGAACAGCUCUGUAAGCAGCACUACAGCUACUUUCAAUCAGAAAGCCUUGGUGCUGAGGUACCUGCCGAUACGUGGUUUUCUACAGUGGGGGAGUUACUGUACUUCAUUACUGUAGCGCAGAACGAUGCUCGUUUGUCUUGGUGUAAGGUUGCAUUCCCGGAUGCCUGAUGGGCCAUUCUGAGAAGUUAGAGGACCUUUCUCUUACAUAUGAAGACCCAUCCACCUCAACACACACUCCCCCUAAACACUCCUGCUGGAAACUAUUUAGCAAAAUAUGAUCUGAAAAAAUCCACAGCCAGCCUUCCACUGUGAGAAGAUGACUCAGCUCUGUGGGUCUGAAAGGAUGUGUAGCUGCCAAGAAGCUCUUGAGAAAAGGAGACGGCCACGUCAAACAAAGAAGCUGAACAAUGGACAGGCCACCCCACAGUCCAGGCCUCAGCACCCCUGAAUGUGUUUGAUUACUUCAGAAAAUCAUUGACCAGCUUCUGAGACUGAACUUUGGAGGAAGAAAAAUAUCCCUGCAGGUUAUUUAACUGAAAGCAUUUAAAAAUGUUAUACACUGUAAAAAUGGUGAUCUAAACGGACAUGAUUAAAAUGUGUCAAGCAAUGAAUAAAAACCAGAGGUGGACGAAGUGCACAAACCAUGUACUUGAGUUAAAGUAGAAACACCCAAGGUAAAAUAUCACUCCAGUAAAAGUAGAAGUUCCUCCCUUUAGACCUCCA